rnacentral:RNase_P_RNA from 1 species
UUGGUAGGAAUGCUCACAACUGGGGACCCCUGCUAUGAUGGCAGCCCCUGGGGAAGGUCUGAGACAAGAGCCGCCUUGCUGCCCUUGCGGGGCAUCGCUGUAACAAGCGAGUGCAGCCACCAGAAACUGGCGCCCGGUGCGGCCCAUGCGGAAGAUGCGGGGAGGUUUGUCCCCCUUAGUUGGGGUCCCUCCCCGCGGACGCGGCCGUAACUCGGUUUGGAAGAGGCUCACGGCUGGCAACUGAGUUCAAUGUGUGAGGUGGUGGAACUUCCCACCAUAACCCAAUUCAGACUACUCUCCUACCAA